AACGAACGCUGGCGGCAGGCUUAACACAUGCAAGUCGAACGCCCCGCAAGGGGAGUGGCAGACGGGUGAGUAACGCGUGGGAACAUACCCUUUCCUGCGGAAUAGCUCCGGGAAACUGAAUUAAUACCGCAUACGCCCUACGGGGGAAAGAUUUAUCGGGGAAGGAUUGGCCCGCGUUGGAUUAGCUAGUUGGUGGGGUAAAGGCCUACCAAGGCGACGAUCCAUAGCUGGUCUGAGAGGAUGAUCAGCCACAUUGGGACUGAGACACGGCCCAAACUCCUACGGGAGGCAGCAGUGGGGAAUAUUGGACAAUGGGCGCAAGCCUGAUCCAGCCAUGCCGCGUGAGUGAUGAAGGCCUUAGGGUUGUAAAGCUCUUUCACCGAUGAAGAUAAUGACGGUAGUCGGAGAAGAAGCCCCGGCUAACUUCGUG
rnacentral:rRNA from 1 species